rnacentral:rRNA from 1 species
UACGUAGGGGGCUAGCGUUGUCCGGAAUCAUUGGGCGUAAAGAGCGUGUAGGCGGUCCGGUAAGUCCGCUGUGAAAGUCGGGGGCUCAACCCUCGAAUGCCGGUGGAUACUGUCGGGCUAGAGUGCGGAAGAGGAGAGUGGAAUUCCUGGUGUAGCGGUGAAAUGCGCAGAUAUCAGGAAGAACACCUAUGGCGAAGGCAGCUCUCUGGGACGGUACUGACGCUGAGACGCGAAAGCGUGGGGAGCGAACAGG